UGCAGAGAUUCUUUUCUGCAGCUCAGACACCAGCCAGAAAACCUGUAAGGUGGUUGGAGCGCUUGUGAUGCUCUCUGUUUUGUGGAUUAGAAGAUGGAGGUACAGAGGCUUGUCAUUUUCCCAGGUUAGUGAUGAUGACAUUGGUCUACAUUGCUAGUCUUCAGCUGUGCAGCCACCUUAGACAAAAUUAUAACCCAAAUACUGUAUUUCUGCUUUUCCUUGUGAAUGUCAGUAUAAGCAUACUAGGUGAAAGACUUGAAUAGCUUUAAGAGCUUUGCUAUAAGGAGACUGCCUGUGGCUUGGCGGUGGUUCGGCCUGGAGACCAGCACUGUCUAGAAUACUUCUGAGCUCCUUCUGAAUGAGUAUUUGACUACAUGGAUCGAAACAAGCCAGCUCAGUGGCUCCUAUGCAGGGAUGGAGAUGAUCCAGGCUGGACCAAUCAGCUGGGAACUAAGGGGAAAGGAAAAUGAGUCUGGUGAUAAUAGGAGCAUGGACUAUUGAUAUGGUUUGGCUCUGUGUCCCCAUCCAAAUCUCAUCUUGAAUUGUUAUCCCCAUGUGUCGAAGGAGGGGCCUGGUGGGAAGUGAUUGGAUCACAGGGCAGAUUUCCCCCUUGCUGUUCUCGUAAUGGUGAGUGAGACCACUCACUCACAAGAUUUCACAAGAUCUGGUGGUUUUAAAGUGUGGUACUUCCCCCUUUGCCCACGCUCUCUCUCCUGCCACCAUGUAAGAUGUGCUUUCCUUCUCCUUCAUCUUCCACCACAACUGUAAGUUUCCUGAGGCUUCCCCAGUCAUGUGGAACUGUGAGUCAAUUAAACCUCAUUUUCUUUUUAAAUAACCCAGUCUCAGUUCUU
rnacentral:lncRNA from 1 species